UAGCACUCUUGUACCGUGAAACUGCGAAUGGCUCAUUAAAUCAGUUAUCGUUUAUUUGAUAGUACCCUACUACAUGGAUACCUGUGGUAAUUCUAGAGCUAAUACAUGCGCAAAACCCCGACUUCGGAAGGGGUGUAUUUAUUAGAUAAAAAACCAAUGCCCCUCGGGGCUCCUUGGUGAUUCAUAAUAACUUCACGAAUCGCAUGSCCUUGCGCCGGCGAUGGUUCAUUCAAAUUUCUGCCCUAUCAACUUUCGAUGGUAGGAUAGUGSCCUACCAUGGUGGCAACGGGUAACGGGGAAUUAGGGUUCGAUUCCGGAGAGGGAGCCUGAGAAACGGCUACCACAUCCAAGGAAGGCAGCAGGCGCGCAAAUUACCCAAUCCCGAUACGGGGAGGUAGUGACAAUAAAUACUGAUACAGGGCUCUUUUGGGUCUUGUAAUUGGAAUGAGAACAAUUUAAAUCCCUUAACGAGGAACAAUUGGAGGGCAAGUCUGGUGCCAGCAGCCGCGGUAAUUCCAGCUCCAAUAGCGUAUAUUAAAGUUGUUGCAGUUAAAAAGCUCGUAGUUGAACCUUGGGCCCGUCCUGCCGGUCCGCCUCACCGCGAGUACUGGUCCGGAUGGGCCUUUCUUUCUGGGGAAUCCCAUGGCCUUCACUGGCUGUGGCGGGGAACCAGGACUUUUACUGUGAAAAAAUUAGAGUGUUCAAAGCAGGCCUUUGCUCGGAUACAUUAGCAUGGAAUAAUARAAUAGGACGUGCGGUUCUAUUUUGUUGGUUUCUAGGACCGCCGUAAUGAUUAAUAGGGAUAGUCGGGGGCGUCAGUAUUCAGCUGUCAGAGGUGAAAUUCUUGGAUUUGCUGAAGACUAACUACUGCGAAAGCAUUCGCCAAGGAUGUUUUCAUUAAUCAGGGAACGAAAGUUAGGGGAUCGAAGACGAUCAGAUACCGUCGUAGUCUUAACCAUAAACUAUGCCGACUAGGGAUCGGGCGGGGUUUCUAUGAUGACCCGCUCGGCACCUUACGAGAAAUCAAAGUUUUUGGGUUCUGGGGG
rnacentral:rRNA from 1 species